rnacentral:tRNA from 1 species
CCCCCUGUUUGCAGACUGCUUCGAGCAUUGGCCUCCGGAGCCGAAGGUUACAGGUUCGAAUCCUGUCGGGGAU